GAGUAGGAGGAGACUGCUCUGGCAACAGGUGAAUCUAGCCUUGGAUAUCGGCUCUCAGAAGGUAUAUGACAAAUCUGAAGCUAUACCUGAGGAAGUAGCUGGAGCUGGACAACAGUAACGAGGAGCAGGUCCCCAUGGAAGAUUCAAGCCUGUCCAACAGUGUUGAUGUGGACAAAGGCUUUGCCAUUGCCUUUGUUGUUCUUCUGUUUCUGUUCCUAAUAGUGAUGAUUUUUCGGUGUGCCAAGUUGGUGAAGAAUCCCUACAAGGCCAGCUCCACAACCACAGAACCAUCUCUGAGCUGAAGUAUAAUCUGAAGUAUAAUAAAACCUGGUAGACUCCC